GCUGUUGGAAUGACAAGGACGUCCCCGGGGCCAAACGAAAACAACCCCACCCCCUGCGGCGCCACCCGGCUGGGAGCGGAGAGAGACUGACGGCGGAGGCGGGGGUCAGGGCGCGGACCCGGACCCCAGCCCCAUGGGGGACAGAGUCCAAAAAUAGCUCGCGUCCUUGGUGUUCGCCUUGUCGCAGGAGCCUCGCCAUCGCGCAAUCUGCACUCGCCCCUCUGCAGAUCUAAGGCCAGACCUGGGCCACCCUAACUUCUCGGUAUCUCCUAUUUCUAGAAACCGGCCGGGUGGAGGAUGCAGCCGGGCGUGGUGGCUACAAGGAAGUGCCCUGGUGUUAAGAACUCAGCCUCUGAAACCCGCCGCCCAGCUUCGAGUCAGCGACGUACUUUUGUUGUCCCGGCCUUAGUAUCCCCGCUGCAAUAAGAGUGUAAGCUCCUAAAGGCAGAAAUCAAGCUGACCUAAGCAAAGACCUGAAGGAGCUAUGAGGACAUCUGGCAGAAGAGGUAAUGCUACGGGCAAGAGGCUGGCCAGCGGCUAUAAACAAGUUAAGGGACUCCUCUGAGCCUCAACAUCCCAUCCCUGGAAUGGAGAGAAGGACGUCUGCCCUGCUUAUCUCAAAAGGACAUCGAUGAGAUCAUAGAAGCCCAAGCUGAGGUUACAUCUGAUGCUAAAAACUAGACGAGAAAGGGUCUGUCUGACCCUCAAGGUCAGCAAUGUGUGUGCAACUCCCCUCUCGGGGUCUGGGGACGCAGCCAUGUGUUCCAUCGCACACCAGGCUUUGGGGAUAUUGUAGGGCUCAGACCGCCGACUGCUAGUUUAUUAAAAGAGCAGCUGCCAUCCCGCCGCGCAGUGGGACAGAGAGCUGCAGCCCGGCGCAGGCUCGACCCCGCAGGGAACCGCGACCCGGGGAUAGGCAGCUCUGGACUGCACUGAUCUGGGACUCUGUCGGCUCUACAGACACACACACGCGCGCGCACACACACACACAUGCACACACGCACGCACACACACACGCACGCACAGCCGCUAGGCCUAGAGUUUAUUUUUCCAGGGGCUGGUGGGGACUCCGCUCCCGCGGCGGGCGGCGGCACUGGAAUGUUAAUUGAAACGGAGCUGGCGAGCGCGGCGCAGAUAAGCGUCGCCCAGCAGCGUCCCCGCCUGCGGCUCCCCGAAUCAGCGAUCCGGGAAGGCCCCGCCGCCUCUCUGGCCGCUGAGGGUUUUCUUUUCCACGCUGAAGGAGUGGAACGCGCGCGGAGGCAGCUCGGCGCCCGCAAACCCCCGGAGUCAGCCCCCGACGGUCUGUCCCAGAACUAAACGGUCUCCGCCACCCAAAGCCGAGAAGCUAAGAGGCCGGCUGGGGGAGGGUGACACGGAGAAAUGGAGAAGCCCACCCAGCGGUUACAUACCGGCAGAUUUUUAUUUCCUUUAACUGGUUGGUUCUUCUAAACAUUUAAUGCAAGAAAUCUCUCGGCCCGCUUCACUUUACUCUCCACCCAUGCUCUUCCCCUAACCCUGAGAAUUUUGCACAGAUUUUCGGGGUUCGCGCGGAGCGCCUCUGAAAGUGAUGGCGGACAAACCGUCAAAAAGGCCUCAGCAUAGCAAUUUAGGAAAAGAUCGUAUCAGAUCCUUAAUUCACACCAUACACUCUAAUACACUCGAAAGUAAGCAAAGAAAUUAUAACAAAUACCAGAAUAAAAUAUGGGUGAAUUCCUUUUUAACCUCAGUGUAGGAAAAGAAAGGUCUUCUCACCAUGACUCAAAUCAAGAAGCAAGUAAACAUAACACAAAUGAUUACAUUUUAUAAAAUGCAUGGUAAGAAAUCACUAUAAAAGAAGUCAAAAGACAAUUGUCAAACAGGAAGAAAAUAUUUGCAACAUAUAGCACACAUAACCAAAGUAACUGAUAUUGAGAAAACUUAAAAAUUGAAAUUGGGAGAUGGAUACAAUUUGCGUUUGUGUAUGUAUGUGUAUAUAUUUAUGUGUUUUUAAUUGUUAUGUAUAUUAUACAUGUAUAUGUAUAGAUACAUACACAUAUGUAUAUAUCCCUUAAACAUAUAAAAGGAUGUUGCACCUCACUUGUAAUUAGAGAAAUGCAAAUUAAAAACAACACUGAGAUACUGUUUCUCACCUAUCAAAUUUGUAAGAAUUAAGAGGCAUGAUCAUGCAUUCCGUUGCCCGGGCUAGCUGGGAAGCAGGCACUCCCAUACAGUACUGGUGGAAUGCAAACCUGUAGAACCUUUCUGGAGAGGAGAACUCCUAAAAAUACUAUAUGUGCAUUUAUGUUUCACCUAUGGUCCCAUUUCUUAGAAAUUUGUCUUUCGACAAAUUCAAUUGACAAUUGUCUUUUGACUCUGAAGACAUGCCUCCAACAAUAUAAAAACACAUACAAACUUAUUAUUGUAAAGUACUGGAAAACUCUAAAUACUCAUUCACAGAACAGUGGUUGAAUAAACUUUGGUACAUUCGUGCAAUGGAGUACUAGGCAACUAUAGAAAACAAUAAGGAAGACCUCUUUGGACCAAUAUGAUGUGACUGCUGAAUAUAUUGUUAAGUGAAAAAAAGGUAACGGCAAAAGAGUAUCUUCAAGAAUCAAUGAGAGCUGGGAACAGCUCAUGUUCUGGGGAGGAGGCUGUGCCGGCCAUGGGGCUUUGGGUGUGUGAUUGACUGCAGGUGUGCUUGCCUUGUGGCAGCAGAAAAAGGAUGCACCAGUGAUCAACCCGUCUCUUAAAUAUGGUAAUCAGAUCAACAUCAUAGAUUUUAAUGAUAAAAGUAUCAUUAUAAAUGAAAACGUUAUCCAUCAAGUGGAUGAAAUUAGGCACAUUAAUGCCAGUCCGGCAGACAAAGGUGAGCUGGUGACAUUCUACAAUAAAAGUUAUUGUGUCUUCUCCUGA
rnacentral:lncRNA from 1 species